rnacentral:rRNA from 1 species
GAUGAACGCUGGCGGCGUGCCUAAUACAUGCAAGUCGAGCGAACAGACGAGGAGCUUGCUCCUCAGACGUUAGCGGCGGACGGGUGAGUAACACGUGGAUAACCUACCUAUAAGACUGGGAUAACUUCGGGAAACCGGAGCUAAUACCGGAUAAUAUAUUGAACCGCAUGGUUCAAUAGUGAAAGACGGUUUUGCUGUCACUUAUAGAUGGAUCCGCGCCGCAUUAGCUAGUUGGUAAGGUAACGGCUUACCAAGGCAACGAUGCGUAGCCGACCUGAGAGGGUGAUCGGCCACACGGGAACUGAGACACGGUCCAGACUCCUACGGGAGGCAGCAGUAGGGAAUCUUCCGCAAUGGGCGAAAGCCUGACGGAGCAACGCCGCGUGAGUGAUGAAGGUCUUCGGAUCGUAAAACUCUGUUAUUAGGGAAGAACAAAUGUGUAAGUAACUAUGCACGUCUUGACGGUACCUAAUCAGAAAGCCACGGCUAACUACGUG